UACGGAGGGUGCGAGCGUUGUCCGGAAUCACUGGGCGUAAAGGGCGCGUAGGCGGCCCGUCAAGCGUGUGGUGAAAGCCCGGGGCUCAACCCCGGGUCGGCCGUGCGGACUGGCGGGCUCGAGCACUGUAGGGGCGGGUGGAAUUCCCGGUGUAGCGGUGGAAUGCGUAGAGAUCGGGAAGAACAUCGGUGGCGAAGGCGGCCUGCUGGGCUGUUGCUGACGCUGAGGCGCGACAGCGUGGGGAGCAAACAGG
rnacentral:rRNA from 1 species